rnacentral:rRNA from 1 species
AUUGAACGCUGGCGGCAGGCCUAACACAUGCAAGUCGAGCGAGCGGCGGACGGGUGAGUAAUGUAUGGGGCUCUGCCCGAUAGAGGGGGAUAACUACUGGAAACGGUGGCUAAUCCCGCAUACUAUCGGCUGACCCCAAGUGGGAUUAGGUAGUUGGUGCGGUAAUGGUUCACCAAGCCGACGAUCUCUAGCUGGUCUGAGAGGAUGACCAGCCACACUGGGACGGAGACACGGCCCAGACGCCUACGGGAGGCAGCAGUGGGGAAUAUUGCGCAAUGGGGGCAACCCGGAUGCGGCCAUGCCGCGUGAUUGAAGAAGGCCUUCGGGUUGUAAAGUUCGUUCGGUAGCGAGGCGUUAACUUCAGAAGAAGCACCGGCUAACUCCGUGCCAGCAGCCGCGGUAAUAC